ACAUGAUGUAACAGGAAUAAAGUGUGUCGCAAUUCAGGAACAGGAUCUUCGACACAAAAAGUAAGUAACUUGUUUUAUCGUUGGCUUGUUAAUUGAUUCAGUCUGGAAAUGACAGAUUAGAAGGAUUAAAGAUGGAUCUCAGUCAGCACCUGAGGCAGGAAGCUGAUCAAACAGCUGAUGCAUGACCGUGGAGCUGGACAGUAAAGACUGAGCACGCUUUAGUUUCUUCACCCAAACAGAAACUCUGUCAGGCUGCAGAGAAAAACCGAUACAACACAUUCAGUUUAGAGAAGCCUUCCUGAAAAUGGAAUCGAGUGUACGAAGAAGAAGGUGGAGCAGGGAACAUCCACCUACUUUUUCUGACCUGCUGAAAAAACUUCCUAAAUAUGCAUCUUCAUUCAUCAAAGUGUUUCAGAGAAAGAAACAGAGGAUGAAACAGAUCGUCUGCGGGCUUCAAAAGAUUGCUGCUGAAGUUAAACAGAUGAAGGAGAAAUCAAAGAAGGUCAGAGUGACAGGUCUGGUGUUUGCAGCAGUUGGUGUUGUAGCAGCUGCAGCUCUGUUCGCUGGGAGCUUCACAAUAGUUGGAGCAGCAGCACUCUCUGUUGCUGCAGGGGCCACUGCUGUCAUUUUUACUAAAAAGCGGUUUACACGACAGAAAGAAAGUGGGAAAAAAGUGAAAGCAUUCCUGAAGAUUGUUGAGUUACUGAGGACUGAGCUGGAAGAAAUAAAGAAGGUGUGUGAAGAUCUGCAGAGAGAAUCAGUCGGAGCUGAACCAGGAAACACUGCGAGACUGAAAGAUGACAUUAACAAACUGUUGGAGGUUACUGCAAAACUCAAAACCUCGACAACUUCAGACUGUAUUACAGACGUAUCUGAUCAGUUUAAGAAAGCUUUUGGAGAGUUUGAAAAGAUGAGGAGAAAACUAAAAGACCUCAGAGAAAGGACAGACACUGAGAAAAUGGAACAAGAUUCUGAUUAAUGAAGACAGAGAAUGAUGUGUUUCAUCAAGUGUGAGGAGAAGUUAGUGAAGAUGGAGGAUCAGAGUCUCUACAAACGACUCAACUGUUACUGGGUUUUGUCUACUGACGGAGGUUAUGGAGAGAAAGUUGGAGGAAACUCUCACAAACUUGUAACUGACAGAAGAAACAGCUGAUGUCUUUGGAGGAGGUGAUGCUUUUUAGAGAGAGACAUUAAGGUUGUCUGCAAAAAUAAUAUAUUUUAUAAACUCUGCUUCUCCAUCGAAAGGUCCCUUUAACUUGAAUGUCACUGUGAUAUCUGACAUGUUUGACUGUUGGACUCUGGUUUAAUAUUUAAUCUCAGAUGUUGGAGUGUGUCACUGAAGUUUUUUUUAUGGAGGCUGUAAUUUUAUUGUUAUUGUACUGUUGUAUUGUCAUCCAGUUAUUAGUGCUGAUUAGAGUCAUGAGACAACUGCUGAUUCUGCGAACACAUUGAUCUGAAUACAUGCAGACUCAUUAAACUGCACAUUACACAGUUCUGAUUGACAUGGAUGAGAAUUUUUGAUGAAUUAUAGAAUAGGGACAGUGAGAAAAGUUCAAAAGAGAAAAGAAAGAUUGUCUAUUUUAAUCAUGAUAUCUGGACAAAGGGAGCUCCAGUCGUUUUGUUUCUUUUACUCCUAGUCUAAUCUGUGGUGCUUCAAGGAGUAUGUCCGGGCAUGGCUGGGGUGAUCAGGUUCACACCCAAAGUCAGCUGACUCACUACAGGCUUAAAAACUUGGAUCCAAGAACCCUGUACAGCAAAUAAAGUUAGGUUGGGUGUUUCCGGCCGGUACACACUGCUGUGGUUCAGAGAACUUUCUGAACUAGUUCCAAUAACAUCGUUCGCAUUGGUUACACACACCCACAUGGACAUGACUGAACUUUCUGAGGUCCCAGCUGAGUUGUGGGUGUGUCACAAAUUUGAUGUAGGACUGAUACGAGGUACCACACCUCUGGUAGUUCACACUAAAUCUGAGUUUUGUCCCUGUGUUUAAUAUUAUCUACUAAAAGAAAAGUGCUUGAAGGUGUUUUUUGAUUUACUGCUGCAUCAUAAAAAGAGUUUUGGGUCACCAUUCUGGAAUCAGACCAAUAACCAGUCUUCAGAGCAGUCAGAAAGGGUGUUAACCUAUGAAUUAUCACUAAUUAAGCAUUAUAAAUUACCAGCUUUAAGAUUAAAGGGCUGUUUGAGGGUUAAUACUUGGUUCAGGGUUCAGGUUAGAAUUAAGUUAAGGUUAGGGGUAGGGUAAGGGUUAAGGUUAGGCACCAAUAAACUGCUGCAACCUCAAGCUCCUGUCAAGCUGUUACCAUGGCAACGUGAGUAAUAUUACGUUUCUACAACAACACAGAUUUUUAGUGUUUAUUUUCUUGUUGAAAUGCAUCACGCUGCUGAAUCCCAUUUUACUACAUGAUGUGAACAUUUACAACGUGAGCAGAGUUAAGAGUGAAAUGUCCAGUUGUAGGGGUUGGAAUCUCAGGGUACCUCACGAUAUGAUACAAGAUACAUGGCUUACGAUAACGAUAAUAUCACAUAAUAAUCAAUAUAUCACUAGACAAUACUAAAAUGACACACCACGAUAAUUGUCUAACUAUGAAUACAAAAUGCCAGUGAAAAUGUUUUCUAUGUAUUUGCCGCACAUCCAAACAUAAAACAGUGUUACAAAACAGCCCAAUUCUGCAGCACACAUUUAAAAAAUACAAAUUGCUGUGUACCACCUAAGUCUAAUAUGUACAUCACAUUAUAAAGAUAACUGUUAAGUGAC